rnacentral:rRNA from 1 species
CCUACGGGUGGCUGCAGUGGGGAAUCUUGCGCAAUGGGCGAAAGCCUGACGCAGCAACGCCGCGUGCGGGAUGACGGCCUUCGUGGUUGUAAACCGCUUUCAGCAGGGACGAAAUUGACGGUACCUGCAGAAGAAGCCCCGGCUAACUACGUGCCAGCAGCCGCGGUAAUACGUAGGGGGCAAGCGUUGUCCGGAAUCAUUGGGCGUAAAGAGCUCGUAGGCGGUUCAGUAAGUCGGGUGUGAAAGCUCCGAGCUCAACUCGGAGAGGCCACUCG